rnacentral:tRNA from 1 species
GCCUGGGUGGCUCAGUCGGUUAAGCGUCUGACUUCAGCUCAGGUCAUGAUCUCACAGUUCGUGAGUUCAAGCCCCACAUCGGGCU